CUCCACCUUCAGAGAGUGCCAGUGCUCUGGAAAACAUCCUGCCUUGUUCCAGUGCCCAAAAAAGGACAUCCUGUGGCACUGGAUGACUACAGGCCGAUUGCACUGACCUCUCACAUUAUGAAGGUCAUGGAGAGGCUGGUUCUUGCACACCUCAGACCCCUAGUGUGCCCAUCACAGGACCCCCUACAAUUUGCAUAUCAGCCCUAUGUUGGGGUUGAUGAUGCACUCAUUUACCUGCUGCAGGAAGCCUACUCCUCCCUGGAUAGACCCAACACUGCUGUCCGCGUCAUGUUCUUCGACUUCUCCAGCGCCUUUAACACCAUCCAGCCCAAGCUGCUGAAGGCCAAACUGGAGAACAUGCAGGUGGAUUCUCCUCUUGUCACAUGGGUUAAUGACUAUCUGACGGGCAGGCCACAGUAUGUGAGAUUACAAAACUGUGUGUCUGACCGUCUGAUCAGCAACAUCGGCGCCCCCCAGGGAACUGUGCUGUCGCCCUUCCUCUUCACCACCUACACUGCAGAUUUUAAGUACCGCACUGAGUCGUGUCAUCUGCAGAAAUUCUCUGAUGACACGGCCAUUGUGGGGCGUGUAGAGGAUGGGAGGGAGGAUGAGUACAGGGACCUGGUCGGCAAUUUUGUCAAAUGGUGUGAGGAGAACCACCUGCAGCUGAACGUGGCGAAGACGAAAGAGAUGGUGGUGGACUUCAGGAGGAACAAGCCCCCGCCUUCUCCAGUCUGCAUUGGCGGGACAGACAUCAACAUUGUGGACUCUUACAAGUACCUGGGUGUGGUGCUGGACGAUAAACUGGAGUGGACCGCAAACACGGAGGCAGUCUACAAGAAGGGCCUGAGCCGGCUUUACUUCCUGAGGAGGCUCAGGUCCUUUAAUGUCUGCAACCGGAUGCUUCAGAUGUUUUAUCAGUCUGUUGUUGCGAGCACCAUCUUCUUCGCUGUGGUGUCCUGGGGUGCGGGCAUCAAAGCUAAAGAUGCAAACAGACUAAACAAACUCAUAAAGAAGGCAGGGUCUGUUGUUGGCUCUAAACUUGUCACCCUGGAGGAGGUGGUGGAGCACAGGAUGCUGGCAAAACUGCUGGUAAUCAUGGACAAUGUCUCUCAUCCCCUCCACGAAACCCUGGACAAGCUUAAGAGCAGCUUCAGCAAU
rnacentral:lncRNA from 1 species